rnacentral:rRNA from 1 species
AUUGAACGCUGGCGGCAGGCCUAACACAUGCAAGUCGAGCGUGCGGCGGACGGGUGAGUAAUGUCUGGGAAACUGCCUGUUGGAGGGGGAUAACUACUGGAUACGGUAGCUAAUACCGCAUACCAUCAGAUGUGCCCAGAUGGGAUUAGCUAGUAGGUGGGGUAACGGCUCUCCUAGGCGACGAUCCCUAGCUGGUCUGAGAGGAUGACCAGCCACAGUGGAACUGAGACACGGGACAGACACCUACGGGAGGCAGCAGUGGGGAAUAUUGCACAAGGGGCGCAAGCAUGAUGCAGCCAGGCCGCGUGUGGGAAGAAGGCCUUCGGGUUGUAAAGCACUUUCAGCGGGGAGGCGUUACCCGCAGAAGAAGCACCGGCUAACUCCGUGCCAGCAGCCGCGGUAAUAC